GGAGGGGGAAAACACGGAGGAGAGAGGGAGAAGAGAAGAGAGGAAGGCAGGACGGAGAGAGGAGGAGGAGGCAGGUGGGCGGGCAAGCAAGCUGCUGGCGCCGCUCAGGGGAGACGUGCUGCUCCGGGGACCAGCCUGGUGGGCGGCAGGGCCACCGAAGGGGUGCGGCUGAGGCAUUUUAAAGGCAGCAACUGCAGACCUCGCUGUUGGAGUAUCCUGCAGGGUGAUGGGAGACAGAUCAAGGACACGUUUCUGGCUUGAGGUGCUGGUGCCCGGGGGUGCCAUUUGCUGAGCUCACAAGGAACUGAACUGCAGUUGACAUUCAAGGUGAUGGCUGCCUCUUCCUUCACCCUGGAGGCUUGGGAUGAUGCGUUGGUUGCUAGUGUUGUCACUGGCAGCAGGAGUGAGCAGUGAAGUGUGGAAUGGCUGGACCUCAGGCACUGUCAAAAAGAAGGGAAAGUAUGGAUUGUUUGCUGACAGCUGCAGCCUUGACUGUAGAAGCAGAAGAGGUCCCAAGGGUCAAUUGCAUCCCUACCUGGCUGGACUACAUCCCAGUUGGCUUGAGAAUAUCCAGCUGCCAGGGAGUCCCCUUUCUCUCUGGUUCUGGAUUGAAAGCUUCUUUCCUGGGUGACUUUGGGACCUUGACAUCCUCCAGGGGACAGGGCAGUGGACUGGAGCUUUGUGACUAUCCAGAUGUCAGACUCAGCCUCCCCAGGCAGGACCUCUGACAGUUGCAAGGCACUCUGUUCCCGACAAAGCACUUCUGCAUACAUAGCUUCUUCAGGCUUCCUGAUGGCUCUGAACCACGCUUACCACUUUACUGGAUUCAUUGUGAUAAACGGCCAGAUCAUACCAUCGAAACAUUCUUUGCUCCUCCAAGCUUCUUUUGAGCACAUGUAACUCGAUGGAUCGUAGAGCCUCGCCCUGCAAGGUGCUUCUGAAAGCACAAUGGAGAGGGGCAUCGCUUGUCAGCGGCAAGGGCUGUCUUUGCCUGGUGCUCAUUGACUGGCUGCCUCUUUCGCUCUGUGCUAAGCAGUAAGCAGACACAGUCUCUCCCCAGGUGUCCUACAAACUGUGCUUGCACUGGCUGCCUCCCAGUCUGCUCAUAAAGCGGAAUGAUGCAGCCUGUGAGCUGAGCUGCCAUACGGGUGGUGCUGGGCUGCUGCAUUUGUGAGAUUCUGAAUGACCCAGGAGACCCAACUCCUGGGAACAAGAGGAGACUACACACAAACAGGAACAAUCCUUAUCAGUGUGUGUAAUCAGUGACUGUUAGGCCUACUAAAAUG
ensembl:lncRNA